AUGCCUGGGAGGUCGACCAUGGAAGCCAUUUUCUUGGUACGACAACUUAUGGAGAGAUAUAGGGAGCAUAAGAAGGACUUGCAUAUGGUGUUCAUUGACUUGGAGAAGGCCUAUGAUAAGAUACCGCGGAAUGUCAUGUGGUGGGCCUUGGAGAAACACAAAGUCCCAGCAAAGUACAUUACCCUCAUCAAGGACAUGUACAAUAAUGUUGUGACAAGUGUUCGAACAAGUGAUGUCGACACCGAUGACUUCCCGAUUAAGAUAGGACUGCAUCAGGGGUCAGCUUUGAGCCCUUAUCUUUUUGCAUUGGUGAUGGAUGAGGUCACAAGGGGUAUACAAGGAGAUAUCCCAUGGUGUAUGCUCUUUGCGGAUGAUGUGGUGCUAGUUGACGAUAGUCGGACAGGGGUAAAUAGGAAGUUAGAGUUAUGGAGACAAACCUUGGAAUCGAAAGGGUUUAGGCUUAGUAGAACUAAAACCGAGUACAUGAUGUGCGGUUUCAGUACUACUAGCUGUGAGGAGGAGGAGGUUAGCCUUGAUGGCCAGGUGGUACCUCGGAAGGACACCUUUCGGUAUUUGGGGUCAAUGUUGCAGGAGGAUGGGGGUAUUGAUGAAGAUGUGAACCAUCGAAUCAAAGCCGGAUGGAUGAAGUGGCGCCAAGCUUCUGGCAUUCUCUGUGACAAGAGAGUGCCACAAAAGCUAAAAGGCAAGUUCUAUAGGACGGCGGUUCGACCCGCAAUGUUGUAUGGCGCGGAGUGUUGGCCGACUAAAAGGCGACAUGUUCAACAGUUAGGUGUGGCGGAGAUGCAUAUGUUGAGAUGGAUGUGUGGCCACACGAGGAAGGAUCGAGUCCGGAAUGAUGAUAUACGAGAUAGAGUUGGGGUAGCACCAAUUGAGGAGAAGCUUGUCCAACAUCGUUUGAGAUGGUUUGGGCAUAUUCAGCGCAGGCCUCCAGAAGCUCCAGUGCUUCAAGGCACAAGUCAGAGUAAGUAG
rnacentral:rRNA from 1 species